rnacentral:rRNA from 1 species
CAAGACGACGACGGGUAGCCGGCCUGAGAGGGCGACCGGCCACACUGGGACUGAGACACGGCCCAGACUCCUACGGGAGGCAGCAGUGGGGAAUAUUGCACAAUGGGGGAAACCCUGAUGCAGCGACGCAGCGUGCGGGAUGACGGCCUUCGGGUUGUAAACCGCUUUCAGCAGGGAAGAAGCGCAAGUGACGGUACCUGCAGAAGAAGUACCGGCUAACUACGUGCCAGCAGCCGCGGUAAUACGUAGGGUACGAGCGUUGUCCGGAAUUAUUGGGCGUAAAGAGCUCGUAGGUGGUUGGUCACGUCUGCUGUGGAAACGCAACGCUUAACGUUGCGCGUGCAGUGGGUACGGGCUGACUAGAGUGCAGUAGGGGAGUCUGGAAUUCCUGGUGUAGCGGUGAAAUGCGCAGAUAUCAGGAGGAACACCGGUGGCGAAGGCGGGACUCUGGGCUGUAACUGACACUGAGGAGCGAAAGCAUGGGGAGCGAACAGGAUUAGAUACCCUGGUAGUCCAUGCCGUAAACGUUGGGCACUAGGUGUGGGGGGCAUUCCACGUUCUCCGCGCCGUAGCUAACGCAUUAAGUGCCCCGCUGG